UUGAGAGUUUUUCUCGCGUACUCGAGAAUAUUGGCGAUUCGAUUUCGUCUGGCAGCCGAUCUCCGUUUCCCUUCUAUCAAUCAUCUUAACUCUACCCUCAUUAAUCAAUCACCCACGAUGUUGAUUAAAUGUGAUAUUUUGAUGUGCAAGUCGGUAGAGUCGACUAUAAGAAGAGCGGCCGCUCCUCCGCCACCGUUGAAGUUCGCUUACUCCGCUUCUGGGAGGCAGAAACUUCCGCCGUGGUGGAGAGCUCAUGGGCGUCGACAUGCUCUUGGUUGAUUCAGGUUAUGUUUUAGAUCGACUUUUUGUUUUAGAUUCACCGAUUGUAUUCACACAAAUAUAUGCGCCAUAUAUAAUCUUAAUUGUAAUUGUCAUUUUGUGUUUUUAAAAAUCUGUUAUCUAUUUCACACCGGUUGAUUUACUUUUUGCUGAUUGUUUUGUAAUUGCAAACAAAACAAAUCCAUCUAGGUGGUUUUGUUUCUUCACGGAGAAAACUCAUCAAGAAGCAUUUCAUCAGAAGAAGCAUAAACAUGGUGGCAGAGCUGAAAAAUGGGUCCAAAAUCUCGGCUACAAUGCCCGAUAAAUACAACAGUUUGUUCGGAUCAGUGUCUUCUGUGUGCUCAGGUCGGGGAGACAACACAACAAUUUGUUUUCCGAUUGCACUUACAAUACUCAGAAUUCCAAGCUGCAAUGUAUUUAUCUGGAAAGAGAAGGAUGCUAGACUUGAUAACAAUACUUCUGGACCGGCCAGUGCUCUAAUUGAAGACAUCUCUCGACAGCUUAGAGCAAAAUUUGACAUUCUCUCUCGACGUGUUCUGUUCCUGUUUCCUUUCUUUCUACUUGAAUUUAUUUAUUCUAGAACUUCGGUUUGUUCAUGUUUGAAGCUAGGAAGCUAUUUUUGUGUGCAGAUACAUAGGGACUAAGAAUUUGUAUUUAAUCAUGUAUAGAUGUUGGUGGAAAUGAAAUGAAGUACUUAAAAAAAGCUUCAUCAAAA